CGCAUCUGUGCAUGCAGCAUAUCAAUAAGCGGAGGAAAAGAAACUAACAAGGAUUCCCCUAGUAACGGCGAGUGAAGCGGGAAGAGCUCAAAUUUGAAAUCUUAAAGGGUUUCCCUUUACGAAUCGUAGUUUAAAGAAGUGUUUUCUGUUGAGGUUUUGGUAAAAGUUCUUUGGAAUAGGACAUCAUAGAGGGUGAGAAUCCCGUAUUUGACCUUUACUUUCAACUUUGUGAUACACUUUCAAAGAGUCGGAUUGUUUGGGAAUGCAGUCCAAAAUGGGUGGUAAAUUUCAUCUAAAGCUAAAUAUUGGCGAGAGACCGAUAGCGAACAAGUACCGUGAGGGAAAGAUGAAAAGAACUUUGAAAAGAGAGUUAAACAGUACGUGAAAUUGUCAAAAGGGAAGCGUUUGACACCAGUGUUGUUUUUCUGAAAAUCAAUUAAAGAACUGUUUAUGCUAAGCUGUUUAGACUUUAUCAGCUAUCUGUUUAGUUUUGAGCUUUUCUUUAAUGCACUUUUCAGUUAACAAGUCAACAUCAAUUUCUUUUGCUGUAAAAAAGCUUGAGGAAGGUGGCUUGAGAUUCGUCUUAAGUGUUUAUAGCCUCUUGCCUAUGCAGUCGGAGAGAUUGAGGUCUGCAGCGUAGAUCCCUCGGGGCUAAAUGCAUUUGUGCUAAGUUAUAGCAUUUUAUAGACAACUUGUUGACUAUGAUUUGUCUUGUAGCUUACUCGCUUAUGUUACUUUUACCUACGCUUAGGAUGUUGAGUCGUAGAGCACGCAG
rnacentral:rRNA from 1 species